rnacentral:lncRNA from 1 species
GGACCGGCCCAGUUAACAAUCCUAGUACAAUUACACCUUACCACUUGUACCCUAUCCUCACAGCUCCUAGUGAUCCACUCGUAAUCAGAGCCAAGUCAAGUUACCAAGUUUCAGAUUAAGUGAAGGACCAACCCAAUGACCCGUCACCAACCAUACGACUCGUACCCACCAAUUAGUAAUCACAAUAAAAACCCAACCACCAC